AUUGGAAUGAUGGUGAUGUACAACCUCACCAGAGUACCAAUUGGAGGGCAAGUCUGGUGCCAGCAGCCGCGGUAAUUCCAGCUCCAAUAGCGUAUAUUAAACUUGUUGCAGUUAAAAAGCUCGUAGUUGUAUUUCAGCCUCGCGUUUUUUCCCUGGUUUUGGGUCUUUUCGCUGGCUUUUUUUUUACUUUGAGAAAAUUAGAGUGUUUCAAGCAGACUUUUGUCUUGAAUACUUCAGCAUGGAAUAAUAGAGUAGGACCUUGGUUCUAUUUUGUUGGUUUUGAGCCUUGGUAA
rnacentral:rRNA from 1 species